CGCGUAGGCGGCCGUUUAAGUCAGAUGUGAAAGCCCGGGGCUCAACCCCGGAAGUGCAUUUGAAACUGGGCGGCUUGAGUAUGGGAGAGGGAAGUGGAAUUCCUGGUGUAGAGGUGAAAUUCGUAGAUAUCAGGAGGAACACCGGUGGCGAAGGCGACUUCCUGGACCAAUACUGACGCUGAGGCGCGAAGGCGUGGGGAGCAAACA
rnacentral:rRNA from 1 species